GGACGAACGCUGGCGGCGUGCUUAACACAUGCAAGUCGAGCGGUAAGGCCCUUUCGGGGGUACGACGAGCGGCGAACGGGUGAGUAACACGUGGGUGACCUGCCCUCAGCUCUGGGAUAAGCCUGGGAAACCGGGUCUAAUACCGGAUAUGACUCCAUGACGCAUGUUGUGGGGUGGAAAGCCUUGUGCGGCUGAGGAUGGGCCCGCGGCCUAUCAGCUUGUUGGUGGGGUGAUGGCCACCAAGGCGACGACGGGUAGCCGGCCUGAGAGGGCGACCGGCCACACUGGGACUGAGACACGGCCCAGACUCCUACGGGAGGCAGCAGUGGGGAAUCUUGCGCAAUGGGCGAAAGCCUGACGCAGCGACGCCGCGUGAGGGAUGACGGCCU
rnacentral:rRNA from 1 species